rnacentral:rRNA from 2 species
AUGUAUGCUUGGAAGCUGUUCUCAUUA